rnacentral:lncRNA from 1 species
CGAUCCGGAGCCUGCGGGUGGCAGCGGAGCCCGGCCCAGGCGCUCCAGGGAUGCACAUUCCGUGUUUAAAAAUAGCGUGUGGGUGUGAGGCAUCAGGAGGCCUGGUAUUCUCUCAGCCCCCGAGGACGGGCAGUUCUCCGCUCCACGCUGCAGUUCUAGCGUUCGUGGAUAUGUCCAACGCCCUCAUGGAGAUGUCCUGUGCGCUCAUCCUAUGGUUUAAGGCUUUGCACCCGGAGCUUUUUUAUCUGGAUGCAUUCAGAAGCCAAUGAAAGACACUUCACAUGCCUGUACCUCUUUGCACCCUGGGAAUGUCACAGCUUCUGAGGACAGAAAGGUUUUCCCACUGGCCUCUUCUGUGGAGGGUAAAUCUCCAUCAUAAAGCAUUUUCUAAGCAGCUGACCAGGACAGCGGAUGAGAAUGUGUUUCAGAGCAUUUUCCCUGAUUCUUGAACGUGCAAAAUAAGCCUGCUGCAAGCAGCCAGACCCUGAUGGACAAAUGGACACACCUGGCCUGACUCUUCUGCAGCUGAUGAAGGGUGGCCAAGGUGGUACUAUGAUGUAAAGCUUUGUGUGUGUAUUUAAGACCAUUCCAACAUUUUAUUACUCAACAAAACUCUUCUAGAAAAAAACUCAGUCUGGACAUAACCCCUGAGAGACCCUUGGAAGGAAAUUGGAGUAUCCAGGGACACUUGGGACUUCUCUGCUGCAACAGCAAGUGGCAGGGAGCGUUGGCCAUGGCAGGACUGAGCACAGAAAGCAGCUGUUUGGAGGUGAUGCUGCUGCUCCCAGAUGAUACAGCAUGGAUACUCUCUCAGCUGGGAGUGCUUGGACCCCAAUUUACAUCUGGCAAACCUUGAAGAAAUCAAAUAAAACUUCUUUUGUAACAUUAGAGUGAAGUAAGAGGAGUUCUCUUAAGAGACACCCUAGGAAUAGAAAGAUAGGAUUGAAUAAUAUUUCAUUCACUUCUUGUUGCCUGGAAUAAAAUUUGUGAGAGAAUACUGUUCUUAUCCUUGGCCAGUAUCUUCUCAAACCCAGCAAAGCAGAGGGCAGACAAGGUUUAUAGUUCACAUUUGCAGAUUCUAGUGACAUAAGUUUACAAUAAUGGUCUAAUAGUUCAGCGUAACAGUGACUCAUGGCUUAUUGCUGUGGCAAUAGGAAUGUAAAGAGAUCUCAUUUGAAAAAAAAAUAUAUUUGGAUAGUUCACAUCCUUUCCUCCCUACUCAUGAAUUCCUGUGCCAUUGACUGCUAGCUGCUAAAAAUAGGAUCCUUUUUGUGUAUCUAAAGGAAAACCUAGUAUCAGAGAGAGUGGGAGGGGACCAAGGCCCUUCCACACAGAGCCUUCAGGAAAUAUUUGUAAUGAAAGCCCUGUGAGAAUGCAGGAAUGUUUUUAAAAGAUGGGAACAAUCUAGGAAGGUAUCUUGGAAGGAAGAAGGAG